UAACAGGAGCAUAUUAACUUACCAAGAGUGCAUUUUGUCAUCGGGACUUCUCCAAGUACACCACUACCUGAGACACCAGCUGUCGCUAUCGAUUCAACAAGUGUGAACAUCAGCCAAAAUGGGUUGUCAACAGUUGUUAAAGGAGGAGUUAUUAUAACAACGAUAAUUUGCCUCACUAAAUAUUUGACAAGAAAAGACGAUAAGGGGGAAUAGUGACAGUGGUGAUUUGGCAACUGACAACGGCAAAGGCGAUGGCGACGUGGUCACGACAAUAUAAUUUUCACUGUAAGACAAAAGGAAACUAUAAAUUGUAUUCCAUUGAACAUCGUAGUUUGCCGUAGUUGUUCAAACUACUAUAAAUAAUUUACUUCUUUUUUGGGCUCAUAACUACGCCAAAAGUUAAACCGUUCGAAAUGGUAGCUAGGGGUGUUUUAUAUGAAUUCACUGAAUAUUGCUACUGAAAUCUAUGAAACAGGCCUAACAAGUUUAAAGUUUCAGUAUUGGUUAACUUGUAUUCGUAGUUUUAAAAUCUACUCGUUUCUCAAUUUCAGUAAAUUUUACUGACUAGUACUUUUAUUCGUAACUAUAUUUUGUGUAAUAUAUCUACUUUUCUAUCUUUGAAUGUAACUUUGAUGUUAAUCUAUCUUAAUUAAUCAUGCAUGGAAUAGGCCGUUUGCUGUGACCUCGAAAAGUGCCUAGAAAACGAUUUUCAUUAAGCAUGUCUUGGAACUAAAAUUUUUUAUGGGAACUAGCAUUUUCGAACACGCUGAGUUCAAAUCCGAAAACUUCCCGCACGGCAGACCCGAAGUUUUCUCACAAACUACUUUUUUAUCUUCGCUAAUUUCACAACAAAUUUUUUCAUUGUUCAAUGACACGGAUGGAUGGAGACGCACGAUUGCAUAACUCAAAAUGACUAAUACCUAUGAACCAGUUUCUACAUUGAACAAAAGACCGGUUUUGCUCGAAUUAUUUUGAGUUAUGUAAUUUUAAGCGUGUUGGACGUAAACAACAUAUCUUGUCUACAACUUUGGGAAGGUACCGAUAUCGCUUUGUAAAAUCCUCAGUUCAGGCUGUAUCUCCAUAAAAUCGACAAUAUUUUACUUUAGCGUUGUCUUUGCCGUUACGUUGGCUUCGCAUUACUUUUGUUUUAAAUACCUUGAUCGCGUUAAAUUAGGUCUAUUUCAGAACAGUGAUAUAGCCAAAAGACUAUAGCAUUAACGUCCUUGUGAUUUUACAGAGAUAUCGCUAGAACUGAGGAUUUUAGAAGGCGUUAUCUGUUUCUUCUCAAAGUUGUAGACAAGAUAUGUUGUUUACGUGCAACACGUGUAAGAUUACAUAACUCAAAAUAAUCCGGGCAAAACCGGUCUUUUGUUAAAAGGAAGACUGGUUUAAUCGUGCGGCGUCAUCGAUCCGUGUCCUUGUGAAAUUAGCGAAGAUAAAAUAGCGUUUUGUGAGAAAACUGCGGGUUUACGGCGCGGGAAGUUUUCGGAUUCGAACCCAGCUUGCUUGAAAGUGUUAGUUUUCGUAAAUAUAUUUUAGUUCCACAUAAUGAUGAAAGUGAACGAUAUCAGGACGCAGCGAACGGUCUAGAAAACACUUUCAAUUGAUACAUGUUAAUAAUAAUAAUUAAUACUAAUAAUAAUAGCAGAAACAUAUCGAAACAAGAAAAGUAAUUACGGAAAAUUUAUAUAUAUAUAUAUAUAUAUAUAUAUAUAUAUAUAUAUAUAUAUAUAUAUAUAGGUUGAGGUAAAGCCGUGCAAUGCAGCCACCUGCUCCGCGGUCCCUAAAUGAUGGUAUUUAUAGGAUACCAGUUUGUUUGUAAACUGAAAAAAUCAGUAAUAAAUCAUGAAUUCUCUUGAUUUAGAUAACAGUUUCUCAAUGAAAAUAGCUCUUUUGAAUAAAUUGUCUACAGGUUAUCAAACAAUUUUAUUUAGACUGGCUUUGUUUUGGCACUGGGGCACUUGUUUUGUCUGAAAUUGAUAUUGAAUAUAUAAAAAUGUCAAUUUUUAGCAAUGUUCGAAGAACUGAUUUAAGGUGACUCCCUAGAGAUUUAUCCCCGGGGCCCGGGGGUUAUGUUUUUG